rnacentral:rRNA from 1 species
UAGUCCACGCCGUAAACGAUGGAUACUAGCUGUUCGGAUUUCGAUCUGAGUGGCCAAGCGAAAGUGAUAAGUAUCCCACCUGGGGAGUACGUUCGCAAGAAUGAAACUCAAAGGAAUUGACGGGGGCCCGCACAAGCGGUGGAGCAUGUGGUUUAAUUCGAUGAUACGCGAGGAACCUUACCAGGGCUUAAAUGGGAAUUGACAGGUUUAGAGAUAGACUUUUCUUCGGACAAUUUUCAAGGUGCUGCAUGGUUGUCGUCAGCUCGUGCCGUGAGGUGUCAGGUUAAGUCCUAUAACGAGCGCAACCCCUGUUGUUAGUUGCCAUCACGUAAAGGUGGGGACUCUAGCAAGACUGCCCAGAUCAACUGGGAGGAAGGUGGGGAUGACGUCAGGUCAGUAUGGGCCCUUAGCCUAGGGGCUGGCACACGUACUACAAUGCUCAGUACAAUGAGAACCGAU